UGUGAUUCAACCAGAUAAUUGGGAAUUUCCAAACCCUAGAAUGAGUGAGAAGUCUUCGGUGUUGAAGAAAUAGCUCGAUUGAUCGAUGAGAUUGAGAAUCUAGAAAUCAAUUGAAUUGCUCCAAUUCUAUCACGGCAAAGCAUCAGUAAGACGAGCACCAGGCUCUGACACCAUAUUGAGAAGCUCUAGCUAUGGAGGAACUGAAGGUUCUAGAGGAUGAGAAAAGAAGAAGAAGAAGGCUAAAAUGAAU
rnacentral:lncRNA from 1 species